UGGACUUGAGUUUAAUUUUCCAUAUUUUACCAAAUUUUAAUGAGCAUUAUCCUCUUAAUUGGAUAUAUUUGCCUCUCUUUUUCUUUCAAACACACAAAUGCAAAUUCUGUCAGCUCAUAAAAUACUGUGAAACCGAUAUUUGUUAGACCUGAAGAGUCCACACUCAACCUUUCCUUCUCUUUCUUUUGGAGUUUAGUGUUCUCUGCAGCAGGUGCAUAAACACACACAUCACACACUCAGAGUAAAAAUAACCCACUCAUCACAGUCUGGUGUCACAUGCCCAUUGUCGAUGAAUUGCCUUCAGCUGCCUCCACACCGCUGGUUACCACAGAAACUGAGUAUUAUGCUUCCUAGCUUAGCGGUUUCCUCUCGACGUGUUUCUUUGACAACAGGAAUGUCAAUUAUCCGAGCUCGCAAAGCUAAAGUUUGAGCCGCCUUUUGUGAGGCUGAUUGGAGCUGCAGUAAGACUUUCUAUAAAUCUACAUGGUUUCUCAUUAACAGGUUAAAGUGCCGCCUUUAGACAUGCAUUCCAACAACAUGCAAAGAGUCAACAUGUCUGCAGGGGUCAAACUGUUUCCUGUUAUUUAUCUUCAACCUGAACAUCUGCAAUGUUUAAACUCUUAAAAACUUGAUUUAAGAUUUUAAGGAAAACUUUCUCUGGUACUCAGACUGUUAACUCCAGUUGCAUAACACUCGCUCAGGUACAGGUUUUUCAGUCUGAACAGAUUAAUUAAAAAAAUCAGAGUUACAAUAUAAACUGUACAUGUAAAUUCAUCUAAAAUCUAGAGUAGUCAAAGCAUUAAAUGAAGUUUUUUUAUACUGUAGUGGACUGUUGAAAAAAAUGUUAUUUGUCACUCUAUUCAACAAUUAAAUCAGCUAAUAAAAGUUGCUUCCAACAAUAUUGCCAAUCCCAAAAGAUGGUACGCUGAGUAGAAUGUUAAUAAAAACAGAAUUUGAUAGUUUUUCAAAUGGUUUAAACUAGAACUGUCAAAAUUAACGCGUUAACUUGGAUAAAUUCAUCAUCAUGAUUAAUCUGAUUACAAUUUUUGAUACAAUCAAUACAUCUGCAGCACAGAAUGACUUAAAAUCCCUGAAAUGUCUCUGGCAAUGCGUUUCGCGCAGUUUGUUCAAGUAGUGUUACCGUCAUGCGUGCACAAAUGGGCAGUUGAACCGGUAGUGACAGGCUUGAAACAACUCAAUAUGAAAAACACUAAACAGCAUGUUAGCCCUCUCAUUGGGUAAUCUAAGUAUCCAACAAAAACAUGACAGAACAGUUGACCAACAUUAAGUAUUAUUCACACUCUGCAAGAAGGAGUUUAAAGGAGCUUAAAAUACCACAUUAACGCGAAACAUUCAGUACGUUAGCCGGGGAUUCUGCCAGCACUUUACCUUUCUUAGCUAAAAAUUAAUGAUAUUUAAUCAUGAUUAAUUGAAAUUAAUGUGUAUAAUCUGAUGAAAAAAUUUAAUUGUUUGGAAGCACUUAUUUAAACUCAAUAUCUAAUUCAAAAUGUAAAAAGUACCAAAAAGUGCAGAGACAACAGUUAGAAUUGAAAAUUAUAUUGUUUUCAGAAAAAUAUUUGCUCAUUUUAAAUGUGAUGCUAACAUCAUGUUGCUGCAAUCCUGCUUGCAAAACAGGACUGCAAGCAGAUCAGUUUAGCACCCAGACCCAUCUACUACAAAGUCGUUUUGUUGAACUCUCAUUCAGUAUAAAUCCAUCAACUGCUGAGCAGAGUAACGUAACAUAAACUUAGCAGGGGUGUAUCCAGAUUUUUUUAUACUUUGGUGGCCAAGCUGGUGCACCAAUUCACGUAGAGGUGGUAUUAAGGAUGUGAGGCCACAUACUGAACAUUUAUCGUUGGAUUUGUGUUAUAACAUUAGCCAUAAGUUAAUUUUAAUAUCAAUUACAGUAUGCUUCUGAUAAGGUAGUAGUUCAAACAAUGUGAUGUUUUGAGUUGUUUAUAUGGUAUGUUUAAGUCUUUUUGGAUCUUGCCCUCCACAAGUAUCCUAUGUUUGGUGCCUAUUAUUCCUGCUCACAGAUCUACUCCUUUAAAGCAAUUAAAAGUGACCCUCAGAUCUCCACACAAACCCAAAAGUUUAUCAUUUAACCUCUGUGGUGCUCAACAUGCCUUUCUCUUUCACAAAGUGACAUUCCUCAGUCUAACAGCCCUUCAUGGUUUGUCUGUCACAGCUGGUCGUAGCUCUGAGCCUCAGCAUCCCAAGCUGCAGGUGGGCCAAGGAUAAAUCUUCACAGCAUGCUUCACUGUCACAUGACCUGCAGAGUUUCAGACUCCUGACUUGAGACUUCCUGUAUUCUGAAGUUAUGCAAGGUGUUAAAAGUCCUAAUUGUCUGGGAUCCUGGAACCAGCACCCCAACCUGCGUUCCCUGCUGGUUUGACAUUUUGUUACGUUGAGGGUGUGUCCGUAUAGAUUUGUUGAUCCAGGAGACCUAGACUCAAACUGGUCUCAAAGGAAACACACAGAUAAUAUGUGUGAUAAUAAGGCUGACUAGAAAGCAGGUAAAAAUAAAAUGAAAAGUUUAGCAUCACUUAAGAAAGGAGAGAAAGUUGUGGUCCUUGGUAACUGGAAAGAGUGAAGUCUCUAUUUGUCUCUAUUUCUUCCUAUUGCAUUUACCUUUUUUAAAUGCUGUUAUCUUCAUUUAUACUUCAUUAAGCUCUUUGAACUGAUCACAUUCACAUCUAAAAAGUUGGGAUACUCUGUAAAAUAUUUAUUAAAACAGAUAUAAUGGUUUUCAAAUCAUUUGUAGUCAAUAUUCAACUGGAAAAAGUGUCAAGAAAACAUUCCAGAUAUUGAGACUGCAAAAUUUUACUGUUCAAAAAUAUACACUCAUUUUACAUUGUAUGCCAGUGAAGUAUUUUUAAAAGUUAGGACAGAGAUAUACUGUAUUUACCAAUCAAAUCAAAUCAAAAUCACAUUUUAUCUAUAAUGCCAAAUCACAACAGUCGUUAUCCAAGACGCUUUCCAAAAAACAAAGAGCAGGUCUAGACCACAGUCAUUGUUUGAUGAAUUACCAAGACCCAACCCUAAAAUUGGACAGAUUUGAUCUCAUCUAACAUGAGUGACAGUGAAAAGGAAAAACUUCCUUUUAACAGGCAGAAACCUUGGGGAGGACCAGACCCAUGUUAGACAGCCACUUCCCUGCUGCUGAGCUGUGUUGCUUCAGCUGAUCUUUUGGAACCCAGAAAACCAGUUUUUGGAGUUUGGAAGUGAAAUGUUUUCCACUUUUUUGCCUAUUAUGGGAUUUCAGCUGUAAAACAGUCGGGGGUCUCCUUUAAAUCAAUUUUUAAUUUUUCACUUCACUAUGUGUUAGGUGUUUUCUCUAGGUGACAAAUCAGUACUGCUGCAGGUAUUUACUUCCUGGUGCAGAAAAGGGUUGGGCAUCCUCUUUGGGAAAUACUCACGAUUUUCCCUGAA